UAUAUGAAAGCGUACGACAGUACAAUGUCUUUUAAGGUCCGUGUAAACGUUAAAAUUUCUUUGUUAAAUUCGUCGUCUGAUUUCCACGGGAUUAUCAAACAAACGUGCAAAUGUACCAGCCCAGUUUGUCAAACAAAAUCUCACGGUUGAAGCAGUUCUCACUUUGUGUGUAACGCGCAGUGAAAUUUUGAGAACAUAUGUUAAUGGGAAAUAGCUACCAAUGAGGCCAAAGCAUUUCAUGCAGGGAAUUGAAAUUUGCUCACACGCCACUUGGAGCGCUGGCGCUGCAAGUUUUAUCAUGUCUAUUUGUUAUUGGUUGAUUGUAAGCAUUUCAAUAUUUGUUUUCGCUUCGUUCAAAACAGCUGACAGCAGUUUAUACACCACGGACAGGGGCAAAUUUGUUAAUGUGAACUGCUUCUUGUGUGUAUCGUCUUAAUUAAAUUGCAUUUUAAGUGUGUUGCGGAUAUUCUGCUAAUUUUUUAAAUGCACGAUGUUGAGUGAUGUAAAUAACUCUCAUGUUUGUGUUUGUUUCGUUUUUGGAGUCGCAUGUAUUUGUUCCUGGUAACGAAGACCUUUUGUGUGUAUUUCUCGAAUUAAUUGUGUUAAUUUUUGAUUAUAAUAACAGACAAGUGAAGAUGGAUCAUAUGGGAAAGAAAAAUUCUGGUUUAAGAUUGAAAUACUCAUGAAAACCUCACCAAAAGCAAACCAUCGAAACGAACCACACAACAUGAAUGGACGUGGCUUGGGUACUUGAGACCACUACUCAACUUUGACGUCCUGGGUCGGUGAACCACGAAGCUCGUAGCAAUCGGACAGCUCCACACACGCUCCGACACUGCGCAGGGACCGCCAGCAGACCCAGCUGACUGCAGUGUGUGGAGAUAACUUCCUUGGUUCGCAGCAACCGACCAACUGCCCUCAGAAUGCCGACAGCAUAGUCAUCAGUGGCAUCGUCUGGUAGGACAACCGACCAACGAUCCACCAAGCCUGUGGCCUGGCUCAAGUGAUGCGUGGCGGCAAUGGUCGGGCAAGCCAUGUUCAGCAGACCUCACUGCUGCUCCAACCCGACUGCACUAGUGCCGCACUGCAACUCCCGGACUGGCAGGCCCGGACUGUGCUACAGUCGCGUUCCAACUGACUGGCAGCCCAAACUCGCGACCUGAACUGGCUUACGACCGACGACGACUGGGAAGUAAUAGCAGUCGAGCAGAGACUACGAGAGGGGAUAUAUCGAUACGCGCUGCGAGUGCCAGUCACGGUCAUGCAAAGCAGCAACUCAGUGACAGCAGUAAUUUAAAUUAAUGUAGUGAGAUGGAAACACGUUAAAAACAUUGUGUAAAAUACGUGAUGGCGGGAACAUGAGCCACGCAUGGCUCACUGGUCUCAAGAUAUUGUAUUUCUUUGAAGCUACUCGGAGUGAAGAAGAUUUUUUUUUAUUGCAUUGUUCUGUCACUGUCUCACACGAAACAACACUUUUUCUAAAAUAUUUUGGCCACCAGUUGUUGAAAUGUGGUAUUUCCUCUCCAUUAACUAAUUUUACUGUCACACCCCUUUUACCGCUCACUAUCAGUUCCGCGUAUACAUAAGGGGUGUAAAUGCGGUCAUGAAUUUUUAUUUCCCUCUUAUAUUGUCUAAGGUCACGAUCAUACAGGAGGAAUGAGUGACCUCUCUCUGGAAAAUUGUGUAUUAUGCUCUUGAGUAUCCCUGCUUGAAUUGUGCCCAUACAAAUGUGUAUAAAGGAGUGAUUUUUGUUCUGGCCGACACAGCCAUCAUAAAACAAAAGAAGAUCAGUCACAUUUUUACUGUGAUCAUUUUUUAUGUAAUCAGAAACGAAAGAUGCUACUCUGUUUGCACCUAUCCUUCCUGAGCCUUCAUGGUGCAAGUACCCAGUGCAGUGUUCAUUUUUCAAAUCAUGUAUGCUGAAACAGUACACAGCAGAUAGAAUAUCUCUUGGACAGAUGUAUGUGGAAAUGGCAAGUUUUGCACAUAAUCAAAAACAUUGGCUCCCAUAGUAUCAAUAGAUUGAGCUCUUCUCUUAGCAUCCCGAGGUGAGAUGUAAAAUUUAGAACUACGACGCUUAUGAACAUUUAAUUCCACUCUGGUGAUAAGCUUGACUCUUUCAUUUAAA